UACGUAGGGACCGAGCGUUGUCCGGAAUCAUUGGGCGUAACGAGCGUGUAGGCGGUCCGGUAAGUCCGCUGUGAAAGUCGGGGGCUCAACCCUCGAAUGCCGGUGGAUACUGUCGGGCUAGAGUGCGGAAGAGGCGAGUGGAAUUCCUGGUGUAGCGGUGAAAUGCGCAGAUAUCAGGAGGAACACCUAUUGCGAAGGCAGCUCGCUGGGACGUAACUGACGCUGAGACGCGAAGGCGUGGGGAGCAAACAGG
rnacentral:rRNA from 1 species